GGUUAUGUCACCAUAUACAAAAUAGAUCAUGCGUUUUGCAAAGAUAAUCAUUUAUUUUAGGUCUAAGAAAACAAGAACUGACUACAAUCUUUAAGUUAUGAUUGCUGCUGAAUGACGCAUUGUAUGACUUCAUUUCAUGAUUUUUCUUUUAAUAAAGUCUCUUGGUCUCACG